GGGCCUUUAGCUCAGUCGGUUAGAGCAGAGGACUCAUAAUCCUUUGGUCCCGGGUUCGAGCCCCGGAGGGCCCA
rfam:Vogesella sp. LIG4 genome assembly, chromosome: I